rnacentral:rRNA from 1 species
ACGGAGGGUGCAAGCGUUAAUCGGAAUUACUGGGCGUAAAGCGUGCGCAGGCGGUUUGUUAAGUCUGUUGUGAAAUCCCCGAGCUCAACUUGGGAAUUGCAAUGGAUACUGGCAGGCUGGAGUACGGUAGAGGAAGGUGGAAUUCCCGGUGUAGCAGUGAAAUGCGUAGAGAUCGGGAGGAACGCCGAUGGCGAAGGCAGGUCUCUGGGCCAUUACUGACACUGAGAAGCGAAAGCAUGGGGAGCGAACAGGA